rfam:Pteropus alecto contig19111, whole genome shotgun sequence.
GUCUAUAGCCAUGCUACCCUGAACAAGCCCGAUCCGGUCUGAUCUAGGAAGUUAAGCAGGGUCGGGCCUGGUUAGUACUUGGAUGGGAGAUCACCUAGGAAGACCAGGUGCUGUAGGCA